rnacentral:rRNA from 1 species
ACACGUAGGGGGCGAGCGUUGUCCGGAAUUACUGGGCGUAAAGGGCGUGUAGGCGGCCUUUCAAGUCAGGUGUGAAAUUCCAGGGCUCAACCCUGGGCGUGCACUUGAAACUGGGGGGCUUGAGUGCAGGAGAGGAAAGUGGAAUUCCCAGUGUAGCGGUGAAAUGCGUAGAUAUUGGGAGGAACACCAGUGGCGAAGGCGACUUUCUGGCCUGUAACUGACGCUGAGGCGCGAAAGCUAGGGGAGCAAACAGGAUUAGAUACCCUGGUAGUCCUAGCCGUAAACGAUGGGUACUAGGUGUAGGGGGUUUAGACGCCCUCUGUGCCGCAGUUAACACAUUAAGUACCCCGCCUGGGGAGUACGGCCGCAAGGCUGAA